CUUAAAAGAAUGUUGACCAUAAAAUUCGGAUCCGAUUCGAUACAAAUCCAAAUAAUCAAUUAAACCGGAGAGAAGCAAAGUAAUUACUAAUUAGUAGUAUACUAAAUUAAACGAAAAAUACAAAAUGAGGAAAUGAAAAAAUAAAUAACAAAAGAAAUUGUUUUCAAACUUUUAAUAAUAAUAUAUGAUAAUAACAACCUGCCAAUUCCUAAUUUCCCGGGUCCGCCGCGGCGGGGUUUUGGAUUGUUAUUGGACCUCCGCCGCCGCCGGGGAGAGAAUCUCGGCGAGAGCCGCC
rnacentral:lncRNA from 1 species